AAAGCACUCUCUUUUAUCUCCUUUUCUAGUUAUAUGUUAAGGGUAGUUGGUUUGAGAGUUAAGUUAGGGUUUGAAUGCUUGUGCUUUUGAUGACAUGGCCAUUCUUUUGCAAGCUGGCUUUUAGAAUCCAUGCUUGAGAACUUUGCAAUAUCCGGUCCAAAAUGUUGCAAAAAUUUGUCACCUCAGUUGCUGUUUUUUCAAGCAAGUUGAAUUUUCAAUGAUAGUGAAUAAGCACUUGCAAAAGAGCAGCAAUGGCGAUGGAUUAGGUGCCCAACGUUGUAGAAAAUGUCCAAGUAACAUAUGGAUUGAAACUUUUAGUGGUGUGAUCGUGGAAGAGGAAGAAGCAGAUCCUUUGAUUCUGGAUUUACCUUUUACUUUAGCCCUACCGAUCUAUUUUGAUUGGGCAAUAUAUUUCCUCUAAUGGCGGUGUUGUCGCUGCUGAAGAACUAGCACCAUUUCUUGAUGUGAAAACUACCGAGGACAUGGGCUUGAGCUUGCUGUAAUAUUCUCAGAUUGCUUGGAAGUGUCGCAGCCUUGCACAAACUCCAAGUGGAAGUCGAUCCAAAAACUUUUGGAUCGACAGAGGAAAUAAAUUGGAAGCCUAAUGCUGCCACUGGUGCCGUUUGCAACUGUAUCAGCGAGGAUCCAAGGCAGCCAGGCAUUGCUUAUGCAAUAGUUCCAGUUUCUUCAGCAACAUUUUUCCCAAGAUAAAAUUCUUGUGUUACGAGGCUCAUGUUUAUAUAGAUGUACAUAUAAUAUUGUUUUGAAUUAAAGAAGAUAACAUAAGAAUAAGGGCAUUCAAAUUGAAAGACAAGGAACCCUCAAUAGGGAUGGAAUAUAAGUUUUGAAAAUUUGUGGUGGCAGACAACGGGAAACCAUCCAAUCUCAUCAUUAUUGCCGUAAGGUCGCCGUUACUGGGAUUUGUGAAUCUCAUUUUAUUCAAAUACUUGGGCAACAGAGUCCUUAAAACAUCUCCUGGCGUCAUCCUAAUCCUAAACCCAAAUGAUAUCAAUGAACAAUGAAGGGGAAGUUGGCUUCCAACCUCCGCUCACAAACCAACUUGCUUAUGAGAAGAGCUCCCUUCAAAAGCAAGAUGUUGCGUGCCUUAAUGUCCUUGUUAUAUGAUAAACUUGCUAGUGAUCAUAUCAUACUAGCAUUAUUGAAAAUUUCGUGCUCUUUACUGUUAGUUAACUAAUUCAAGUUUGUCACUACAAUCUUUUCUUUAUGGUGAUCAAAUCAUUCAAGUUACUGGAAUACAGAUCGCCCCUCUUCGUAUGGUUCAUGGUUCACAUCCUAGUUGUACACUAUAUAAAUUGAAGAAAUAUUCUAUUUUCAUUAUAUUAUGUUAUGCUAUAUCAAACAAAAUUUGAAAUCAUACAUUAACCAUGGAAAAUAUAUGGAAAAAAAAAAACUAUUCUGCUUUUGUCUGAGAAUGGCCAAAUCAUAAAUAGCCAGUAGCGUGCAAGUUCCAACAUGUACUCAAAGAACAUGCAUGUAGAGGUCCUAGAGGAUAACAUGGAUCCUUCGGCCAAUAAAGGGGGUGAACGAGUGAAGAUACGACCAGCAUCCUUUGCCACUUAAAGAAUAUAUACAUACUCAAUAAAGCCUUGGCUUACUGACGUAACUAUACAAAUAAAAUUCUAAUCUUCUGCCACUCACCAAUGCCACUAUUCUAUCAUGAAAUGCUAAUAAAAAGCCAUCACAAACAGCCAAAAAAUAAAAAACCUGGAUUCUGUCCGCCAAAUCCACAGUUACACUUUCAAAAUGCAUUAGCGGUGGAGACCAAUAGUCAUGACAUGACCAGCAAAUUCAUCUUUUCAUCGUUCAUUAGCAGCUACACAUUUCCCAUCAGCAAGGUAGUAGUUGCGACCAAAAAACUUUCGGUCAGAACGCUUAGAUGCUAGCAGAUUUUAGCAGCAAUUUACCAUCUUCAAGCAAUUCUGGACACCAAUAUACC